rnacentral:rRNA from 1 species
CAUGCAAGUCGAGCGGACCGACGGGAGCUUGCUCCCUUAGGUCAGCGGCGGACGGGUGAGUAACACGUGGGUAACCUGCCUGUAAGACUGGGAUAACUCCGGGAAACCGGGGCUAAUACCGGAUGCUUGAUUGAACCGCAUGGUUCAAUCAUAAAAGGUGGCUUUCAGCUACCACUUACAGAUGGACCCGCGGCGCAUUAGCUAGUUGGUGAGGUAACGGCUCACCAAGGCGACGAUGCGUAGCCGACCUGAGAGGGUGAUCGGCCACACUGGGACUGAGACACGGCCCAGACUCCUACGGGAGGCAGCAGUAGGGAAUCUUCCGCAAUGGACGAAAGUCUGACGGAGCAACGCCGCGUGAGUGAUGAAGGUUUUCGGAUCGUAAAACUCUGUUGUUAGGGAAGAACAAGUACCGUUCGAAUAGGGCGGCACCUUGACGGUACCUAACCAGAAAGCCACGGCUAACUACGUGCCAGCAGCCGCGGUAAUACGUAGGUGGCAAGCGUUGUCCGGAAUUAUUGGGCGUAAAGCGCGCGCAGGCGGUUUCUUAAGUCUGAUGUGAAAGCCCCCGGCUCAACCGGGGAGGGUCAUUGGAAACUGGGGAACUUGAGUGCAGAAGAGGAGAGUGGAAUUCCACGUGUAGCGGUGAAAUGCGUAGAGAUGUGGAGGAACACCAGUGGCGAAGGCGACUCUCUGGUCUGUAACUGACGCUGAAGCGCGAAAGCCUGGGGAGCGAACAGGAUUAGAUACCCUGGUAGUCC